UACGGAGGGGACUAGCGUUGUUCGGAAUUACUGGGCGUAAAGCGCACGUAGGCGGAUUUGUAAGUCAGGGGUGAAAUCCCGGGGCUCAACCUCGGAACUGCCUUUGAUACUGCAAAUCUCGAGUCCGGAAGAGGUGAGUGGAAUUCCUAGUGUAGAGGUGAAAUUCGUAGAUAUUAGGAGGAACACCGGUGGCGAAGGCGACAUCCUGGACCGGCAUUGACGCUGAGGCGCGAAAGCCAGGGGAGCAAACGGG
rnacentral:rRNA from 1 species